UACGAAGGGGGGCUAGCGUUGCUCGGAAUGACUGGGCGUAAAGGGCGCGUAGGCGGUUUGUACAGUCAGACGUGAAAUUCCUGGGCUCAACCUGGGGGCUGCGUUUGAUACGUGCGGACUUGAGUGCGGAAGAGGGUCGUGGAAUUCCCAGUGUAGAGGUGAAAUUCGUAGAUAUUGGGAAGAACACCGGUGGCGAAGGCGGCGACCUGGUCCGAUACUGACGCUGAGGCGCGAAAGCGUGGGGAGCAAACAGG
rnacentral:rRNA from 1 species